UACAGGGGGGGGCAAGCGUUUGUUCGGAAUUACUGGGCGUAAAGGGUCUGUAGGUGGCCAACUAAGUCAGACGUGAAAUCCCUCAGCUUAACUGGGGAACUGCGUCUGAUACUGGAUGGCUCGAGUGUGGGAGAGGAAUGCGGAAUUCCAGGUGUAGCGGUGAAAUGCGUAGAUAUCUGGAGGAACACCGGUGGCGAAGGCGGCAUUCUGGACCACAACUGACACUGAGAGACGAAAGCCAGGGGAGCAAACGGG
rnacentral:rRNA from 1 species